GGGUCGUUAGCUCAGUUGGUAGAGCAGUUGACUUUUAAUCAAUUGGUCGCAGGUUCGAAUCCCGCACGAACCACCA
rnacentral:tRNA from 1 species